GAGGGGUGCUAGCGUUAUUCGGAAUUAUUGGGCGUAAAGGGUGCGUAGGCGGCGCGUUAAGUCAACUGUUAAAUCUUCCGGCCUAACUGGAAGCUUGCAGUAGAAACUGGCGUGCUAGAGUUUGGAAGAGAGAAGUGGAAUUCUCGGAGUAGCGGUAAAAUGCGUAGAUCUCGAGAGGAACACCGAUGGCGAAGGCAGCUUCUUGGUCCAUAACUGACGCUGAGGCACGAAAGCGUGGGGAGCAAACAGGGAUUAGAUACCCUGGUAGUCCACGCCGUAAACGAUGAUCACUAGACGUCAGCUUUGCUUUGCAAAGUUGGUGUCGCAGCUAACGCGAUAAGUGAUCCCGCCUGGGAGUACGGUCGCAAGACUA
rnacentral:rRNA from 1 species